UCGCUUCUGUUUAUGUCCCGCCCGUAAAUGUUCAAUGAAACAACAUGCGCUCACGCUCGACUUGGAGCGACCGUGGAG